CACGCAGCCUCUAGUGAAACUAGGUAGUCCCAAGCCCCUGGUGGGAGAAUUAUUCACCUUUACAUCAAGAAGGUUGGGAAAACACCUGAACCUGCAUGUGGCAUGUGCCUAGCCAGACUUCGAGGAGUUCGUGCUAUGAGACCUGAAGUUCUUGUGAGGUUCCCUAAAACAGAAACACAUGUCAGCAGGGCCUGUGGUGGUUCCGUGUGUGCUAAGUGUGUUCGUGACAGGAUCAAGUGUGCUUUCCUUAUUGAGGAGCAGAAUAUUGUUGUGGAAGUGUCAAAGGCACAGAGUCAG
rnacentral:lncRNA from 1 species